rnacentral:rRNA from 1 species
AGCGAACGUUUGCGGCGGGCCUAACACAUGCAAGUCGAACGCACUAGCAAUAGUGAGUGGCGCACGGGUGCGUAACACGUGGGUAAUCAACCCUUCAGCCUGGAAUAACGACUCGAAAGGGUCGCUAAUACCGGAUACGGCGCGAGAGGCUUCGGCUUCUCACGAGAAAGCCACGCAAGGGGCACUGAAGGACGAGCCUGCGGCCCAUCAGCUAGUUGGUGAGGUAAGAGCUCACCAAGGCUAAGACGGGUAGCUGGUCUGAGAGGAUGAUCAGCCACACUGGAACUGAGACACGGUCCAGACUCCUACGGGAGGCAGCAGUGGGGAAUAUUGCGCAAUGGGCGAAAGCCUGACGCAGCCACGCCGCGUGAGCGAUGAAGGCCUUCGGGUCGUAAAGCUCUGUGGGGAGAGACGAAGAAAGCCUGUGAAGAGCAGGCCUUGACGGUAUCUCCUUAGCAAGCACCGGCUAACUCCGUG